GAAAUGCGAUAAGUAAUGUGAAUUGCAGAAUUCAGUGAAUCAUCGAAUCUUUGAACGCACAUUUCGCCCGCCAGUAUUCUGGCGGGCAUGCCUGUUCGAGCGUCAUUUCCACCAUCAGGCCCCCGGGCCUGUGUUGGGGACCUGCGGCUGCCCGCAGGCCCCGAAAUUCAGUGGCGGUCGCGCCGUAGCAACCGAGCGUAGUAACUAAAACGUCUCGCUCUGGCUCGCUGGGCGCGCUCCGGCCGUAAAACACCCCCCCUUUUCGCAAAGGUUGACCUCGGAUCAGGUAGGAAUACCCGCUGAACUUAAGC
rnacentral:misc_RNA from 1 species